rnacentral:rRNA from 1 species
ACGCUCGACACCUACAGGAGGCAGCAGUGAGGGAAUAUUGGUCAAUGGGCGCUAGCCUGAACCAGCCAAGUAGCGUGAAGGAUGAAGGCUCUAUGGGUCGUAAACUUCUUUUAUAUAAGAAUAAAGUGCAGUAUGUAUACUGUUUUGUAUGUAUUAUAUGAAUAAGGAUCGGCUAACUCCGUGCCAGCAGCCGCGGUAAUCUGAGCGGGCUGGCAAGGC